rnacentral:snoRNA from 1 species
CAGCAUGAUGGGGGUAUUUUCGGAUGAGGUCCGUUAAUCUUUCCCAUGCCUCAUGGAACUGCUCACUAUCUUCCUGAGAGAAACUAGUGAGAGCUCGCCAUAUUUG